rnacentral:rRNA from 1 species
AUUGAACGCUGGCGGCAUGCCUUACACAUGCAAGUCGAACGGCAGCACGGGUGCUUGCACCUGGUGGCGAGUGGCGAACGGGUGAGUAAUACAUCGGAACAUGUCCUGUAGUGGGGAUAGCCCGGCGAAAGCCGGAUUAAUACCGCAAACGAGCUUAGGAUGAAAGCGGGGGACCUUCGGGCCUCGAGGUAUACGGUUGGUCGAGGGAUGAUUAGCUAGUUGGUGGGGUAAAGGCCUACCAAGGCGACGAUCAGUAGCUGGUCUGAGAGGACGACCAGCCACACUGGGACUGAGACACGGCCCAGACUCCUACGGGAGGCAGCAGUGGGGAAUUUUGGACAAUGGGCGAAAGCCUGACCCAGCAAUGCCGCGUGUGUGAAGAAGGCCUUCGGGUUGUAAAGCACUUUUGUCCGGAAAGAAAUCCUUGGCCCUAAUACGGUCGGGGGAUGACGGUACCGGAAGAAUAAGCACCGGCUAACUACGUG